rnacentral:lncRNA from 1 species
AUGCCAUCGAUGGAACAAGGGAAAACAGUUUGCCAAAGGGAACUCAAUAGCAGCAAGUAUCUUCUGCCAAAAUAUCUUGAUGCUGGGACUGGACCAGGAAACUCACAUGGGUCCUGUUCUGCUCGGGCUGAAGUCAAAGGCUCUGGAGAUAUAUGUACCAUUGCUCUCUCCUGUACUUAUCCUAGAAGGAGAAUCUCAUCUGGGAAUCACUUUCCUUGCCUCUUACACCACCUCAGAACAGCUCCUGCUUUGUGUCUCGUAGCGAGGCUGGAACUCAGCAGCCAUAAUUUGGAGUGACAGAUGAGCAAGUUAGUUCAUGAAGGGAGGAAAAAACUCCUGAAAAAUGAGAAAAUAAAUAUAAGAGCUUGCAAUCAUGUCAGAAGGGCCAGAAGUGGUGUCUUGAAAUAACUAAUUUUGUAUUUCACUAGUCCUGGGUGUAUCUGGGGAGAGAAAUCAGGGACAGGCUAUAGUCAAGCAUGAGAGAGCAAACAUGGGCUCUGGGGAUGUUUACAAUAGGAAAUGAAACUCCAGCAUCACUGUGUUGCAAUGAGAACUAGCACAUUUGGAGCUUGAAUGUGUCUUUCAAUGUCUGUAAGUAUACAGAUGACUAUAUUUAGCUCUGGAAAUAAACACAAGUAGUCUGAUAGCUUUAAACGUGUCAGAUUUAGCGCAUCAGACAGUAAGAACCCUUGGAAGAAGCAAGUGUAACAUUAAGACUGAUGCUGACUUUUGGUGUGAAGCUUAGAAGAGACCUGGCAAGUCUAACACACAAGGUGAUGGGCUACCAGGCAAGGACUGCUGGGCUAUUUCCAGCAAUGCUGCACAUUUGUGGUCUGACCUCAGGCAAGCCAUUCGAUUUCCCCGUGCAUUUUGAUUUGCUCUCUCUGCAUUAGAAGCUCUUUGCUUCUUUUGGCAGCUUCAGAGGCUCUUGGCAAGUGAUGUCCCCACCCCACCUCGCCACAUGCUGCAGGACAGCUCUUCAGUGUGCACUGAAACAAGGGCAAGAUUCAGCCAGGGUUACUCUUGCUGCAGCAUUCUCUCUGUAACAGCCCUACUGCAGAUGCUGGAGCAUUAAGAAGCCACCUUAUGUACCUACUGAAUAUGUGACGUCAUUUAAGUGACUGAUAGAUUUCAUGGAAUGGCACCAACCUGUUCCAAAACAGGUGUAAUGUACACAUUUUAGUCAUUUUAAUGCUAAUAAGAAGUAAAUAAAAUGCUACACUGAAGUUGUUGUAAGCCAUUCAGAUGUGGUCUAAAGCAGAAAGAAACGCUGACAAAGACUUCAUUGCAGUAGUGUCCAAUACCUCCCUGGGCAGUUAUGAGGUUCUCUUCAGUGAACAAACAUGUUUUUAUGUUCUGCUGGCAUUUAUUUUUAUGCAAUGUAUGAAGACAGGAAGACAAAAUGUCAUCAGGUUUUUUUUUUCCUUCAGCUUUCAAAAAGUAAAAGGAAAUCCCACGACAGCCACUGAAACUACAUAGAUUCUGGAUGAUUCAGAAUGCAGAAAACAAACUUGAGUGUGACAUGAAACAGUACAACAUUCAAGUGGGUUCUCUAAGAGUCAUUUUUCACCUGUAACUUUGUAUUCUGUUAUACCCAGGAAUGUUCAUGGGUUUGAAUUUACCCUAGCUUUUGCAUCUUUAUGCCUGUUCCUAUAUAUCUGGAUGAUACAGUAGGUGCCCUUUCAGCUGAGGGGAGCAUCCUCAGUGAUAACAAUAUGAUAUCCUUGUCUCGUGCAGCCUUCCUCUGCUCUUCAGCAAUUCUCCUGUUUCCUGAAUGUUUAGACUUAUUUUCUGCCAAAAUCUCCAUCACACCUAUGACUUGAAGGUCUUUGCUGUGGUCUGACAUGAGAUCUUUGUGAAAUACCACCCAGCGAGAUCUAAAUACCACACUCCUAACUUGCAUAAAAUUUCUGCUUAUGUCAAUGGAAGUUUUGCUAAGUGAGGCUGCCAGCUUUGACCAUGGAUUUGCAGCAUAGAGUACGCCGCAGUCUCUCAGAAUGUUCAACACUACCCCGUGUGAUCUGGGAGACAGCUUGCACAGAGAUGUCUUACAGGAGAAAGUUUACCAGCCUGUUACUGGGACAGGGGAGGAGAAAUGCUGAUUGAGGUAAAAAGAAAGACCCCUGUCCCUUCAGGAAGAGACGGCAAAGGGUGUCAUGUUUCUUUUGGCACUGCAGUGCUACCGAAUUACAUCUGCUCUUCAAACGUUUUCCAGAGGGAGCCUUGCUAGACACCACCACUUACCCUCAAGAUGCAAAACCCUCCAGCACACACAGCCUCAUUUCAUCGCCCCAUGACCGCGGUAUAACGCAGCCCGCAGCCGGGGCUCCCAGCCGCCCCGCGACGAGCGGCACCACCUGUCCACGCUCCCCCCCGCCCCGCACCUGGGGCCGCCGCGCCGCUCCCCUCGCCCUCCCGCUGCUGCGGGGCAGCUCCGCUCCCGAAGCCGCGCGUGGCCGAGCCGGGGUCGGGGCCGUCCCGCCCCGUGGCCGCGUUUGCUGAUGUAAUCGCAACAGAGAGCGCUGAAACCCAACACCGCGCGGUGCGGAGCAGCGCGGCUCCGCUGCCGGGGGCUCCGCG